AACAGGGUAUAUUAAGUUUGCCAUAAAGUUCGUAACAACUAGAGAAACGUCGGAGACCCUAUAAAGUAUAUACUUAUGUAUGAGUAAAACUGAUCAGCGUGACGAGCUGAGUCGUCCGUCCUUCUAUCCGUCUGAACAUACGCUAACUAGACCCUUAAUUUUUGAGAGAUCAAUCUCAAAUUUUACACACGUUAUUUUCGCCAUAAGCUCUUCGUUUGUUGGAAUCGCCGAUAUCAGAUCAUAUAGCACUUAGCUGGCAUAAAAAUUAGCCGAUCAGAGUCUAGCUUAUCGUUUUUAUUUGACAAGAAAUAAUUAUGAAAUUUGGUAUGGAUUAUUGUCCAAGGCAACGCAACAAUCUCCAAACAUUUUGUUCAGGUCGAACUACUAUAGCAUAUAGCUGCCAUUCAAACUGAUUUACCAAAAAUAAAUACCUUCUUAUUUAAAUUUGAUUUUGAAUAAAUUCGGUAUUCGUAAGCCAAAAUUGAAUAUCUUACGAUAAGGUUACAUCGUAUUAGCAUUUAUUAUCACUCUUCGUGAACACCGCUUUUGGUGGGCAAAAGCAAAACAAAAAGAAAACAAUGACAUACUUAUUGUGAAUUUGCGAAAAUGCUUGUCAAAACAAAAUUAAUAGAUACGGAUUGUGACUGACACGAACAUUGAUUAAUUUUUAUUGCCAGAAAAUUUUCGCCAUAAAUAUUUGCUUAUAAUUAACAUAGUGCUGAAAAUUAGAAAACCGUUUAAUACUCAUAUAGGAAAUUAGAUAUGUCACUAGCGCGUGUUCCCCAAUUACGAAUUGUACAACGUGACCUUAAAUGCCGUCAAGGCUGCGGAUUUUAUGGAAAUGCCCAAUUUGAUGGACUCUGCUCCAAAUGUUUUCGUGAACGAAACGAUAAAAGAAAGAAAGCAGAGCAGAAUGCACUUCCUCCGCCUGCAAAUUCGACGAAUACCGGUGGCACGAGCACAGCUGGUCGCUUGUCCCCACAAAACCUUUUGGGGCGAGUGCCAAACAAGAGACAGGAUAGUAUGCCGGAAAUAUCGACAGGUACUCUUACGAAGAAGAAAUCACUCGUGCCAGCUGUAUUUCAAAAAACACUUCAAUCAAAUACGCUGAAGAGUAAAAAAUUAAAACAGGACGGUAAUUUAGGACAAAAAACAUAUGUGCCCGAUCCCACCGAAAGUCAAUUUAUGCUGCAACUACGCCAACUUCGCAUACCUGAUGAUGGCAAGCGUAAACUAAAAAGUGAAAUUCAACGCCUAGAUAAUGCCAUACGCAGUUAUAUGAAUAAUAGUGCUAAUAAAAAUGUUGAUGAAUUGUCAGAGAUGGUACAAAAUGCAUACACCAAACUGGCGGAUAUAGUGCACAAUGACCAACGUUUCCAAAUUGCCACCAACGAAGACCGUGAAAGUGCAAUCGAUUUCUUCGAAAAAGUUGUCAUGACUCAAAAUCACAAAUUCCUAUUUAGUCCGUAUUUCACGCUCGAUGAAGAAAACGAUGUAAAAAUACAAAAACGCAUACGUCAACUCAGUUGGAUAACGGCAAAACAUUUAGUAUGCAGCAUUGAUGAAGUUAAUGCGGAGUCGCGAGACCUGGUCUAUAAUGCUAUAACAGAACUGGUAGGCAUCGAUUCAUAUUACUCACCACAAGAGAAACUGGAGUGCACAGUGCGCUGUUGUCGCCACAUUUUUGAAUUACUGAAGCAUUCAGUUGGAGGUCCGGCAAGCGCAGAUGAAUUUCUUCCUGCUCUCAUUUUCGUUGUGUUAAAAGCUAAUCCAGUACGACUGCAUAGCAAUGUAAACUUCGUAACACGCUUUACUAAUGCAUCACGCUUAAUGAGUGGUGAAGGUGGUUAUUAUUUCACGAAUCUGUGCUGCGCAAUCUCAUUUAUUGAGAAUUUAAAUGGCGAAAGUCUGGGUAUCACAGAAGAAGAAUUCGAUUUACUCAUGUCAGGAGAUAAAGCAUUCAGUACACCUUGGGAAAGCGCUUUGUUGGCUUGUGAGGGAUUACAUUUGAUAUCGGAGAAUAUGAAGCGCAUGGAAUCAUUAAAGAAGCGGAAUACUAGCAUUGCUACUGGUAUUGAUAAUUUCCGUAAAGACCUCGAAGAGUUUCAGCGGGAGAUUUCCGAUAAAGUUGAUGCUUGCAUCACAAAAGCCCCACUAACUAUCCUGCCCAUAAAAACACCACCACAUUUAAUCAGUAAAGCAAGAGCUCACCUGGCAAAUGGGAGUGAAACAGGUUUAGCGACCAGCGAAUCAAUUGGACAUUAUAGUGCUAAUUUGAUUGCUGCAUUAACCGCCGAUGAGAAAACGAAAAAAGAGAGUACAAAAAAUACUCUUCCCACGCCUUUAGUACAAAACAGCACAAAUCAAAUAAUUGAUAUUUUGGAGGACGCAUCACACACAUUGGCACUUAAAGACACUAGUACUACAUCGAUUGGUCGGCUAUCGCCUCUACCACCAGCACAGCCAAACUCUGACCUGCAAUUCACAUCUCCAAUUUUUAAUUAUACACCUUUCGAUGCCAUUUCGCUAUUGGAAGAUCAUUCUGAUUCCACUGAUGAUUAUUUAAUUAGCACAGAUUUGCGAGGUGGACUUACAAAUGUAAAUUAUGACUUUGAUUUAUCCGACCACAGCGGUGAAAACAGUGUUACCGAGGAUUUGAAAUUAAAUUUGGAAGAAUUCGAUCCCCUUGCACAAAAAUCGUCGACAGAAAGUGAUCUGCAAGUAGUUGUCCAAGAUGGAAGUACAGUUGGGCGUAGUUUAUUGGACAGUGAUUCGCCCACAAAUGGAACAUUGCUUCCAUCGCCGUUGAAACCGACAGUAACUGAUUAUCGAGGUUUUUCGAGUUUCGAAAUACCGUCUAUUUCUUGUAAUACUGGGGAUUUUGCAUCACUAAACCAUUCUAUUAAUGAAAGCGAUCUUAGCUUAAGGACAACUAGCACUGUAAUUGAAAAUAGUAAAGCUAAUUGAUUUAAGUCAGUCCAAUUUCACAGUGGUGUGAUAAAUGUAUUAAUAUAGUAAAUUGGAUUAUAUUUGCAUAUAAUAAAUAAAAUGCUAUUAUAAAUUACUUUGCGUACAUAAACAAUAAUUAUUAUAUUAAUUAUUUGCUUAAUUAUUGAGGGUUCAAAUACGUUAUGCAUAAUGAUCAGGUUAUUAUUUUGCCAUAUUAUUUACUCAUAAAAAGGCAUCAUUACUGUGAAUUCCCCAUAACUGGCAGUCACAAUAGUAUGACAACAAAGCGAAAUGCCAAACACAGACAGACUUCGAUCCGAUUGGCUUUCGAUUUGUCCAUCGCUGUGAUUUUGUGUGUGGAGGGAUUGUGGUAUUUUUGAAGGAAGCUGUGAGCGUGAUUAUAUUCAAAAACAUCGAAAAUACACAGACAAUAGCAUAAAAAAUGAGAAAAAGUGAUGAGGAUAGUUCUACAAGCGCACCAACCUUUCGCAUAAUACGUGAGGUUUACGAAAGCACUAAUGCACAUGAACGCUUUGAAGCUGAACUGGACAAAGCGUUGGAGGCUAAAGUGGAUUACAUAAUUAUCGAACCGCCAAGGUUGGGCGAUGAAACUGAACGAUGGAUAACGGUUGGUAAUUGCUUACACAAAACAGCCGUAGUUUCAGGCGUCGCUUCUCUCAUAUCUAGUUUGUUAUGGCGGGAUCGGCCAGUGAUUGCAGCGCCAAUGUGCGCUGUUUCGCUUUUCUGUGCAGGAUUAUACACAGUAUCUUGGAAUUAUGAUCCAUGCUGCCAGUAUCAGGUGGAAAGCGAUGAUGAAAUCCUAAGCAAAUUACCACUCGGAGAUGUGUCUGCUCCUAUGAUACUAGGCUACUCGCCUAAUAACAAAACCAAAUAUUUGCAUCGCAGUGUCACUUUAUUAUCAGCAGCAUUCUGUGCAUGGCAAAUAUGGCGGUCGUACAAGUAGCUAAGCUUACUAACACCCAGCCGCAUUGUCUGAGUGAAGUUGCAUGCUUUUGUGAUUAGAUGAAAAGUAGAAUGUCAAUGCCACACCAAUGUACUGCAGAUAUUUGUACAUUUAUCGUUUUUAUUGCAUGCAACUGCGCCUCCACGCACUCGCGACCGUACCACAAUCACCACCAGUAUCCAAAUAACCACACAUACACACAAAGAGAUGCAUUAGGCGGCUUAACUGCAGCGAUAAUAACUGCAUUAAUUCAGCGUGGAAUAGUAAAUACUUGGAAGUUGUUGGUGGAUAAACAUCCCAAUUUUUUAUUUAAUGCAAUUAACGAACUUUUAUUUUGUAUUUUUUUUUUUACAAAUAGUAAGAAUGAAGAUAAAAUAAGGCGUUAGUGUAAAAAAAUGUGUGGAAAUAUUUUGGCUACGAAAUUCACAAUUGCAAAAGUUUACCAAAAGACGAUUUGUUCGAUUACAAUACCAAUGUAAGGUGAAAAUUUAUUAAAUUAAUUGUACGUUUAAAUGUUUCGCUUAGCUAAAAGUUUAAGUAAAAAUGAACAAGAAACUAAAUUUGUGCAUUUUUAAAAUUUUUACUUCAUUUCGAGACUGCAUUAUUAUUCGAGUGUUAUUGCAUACAUACCGAUUAACUCAUAUAUCGGUUAUCUGCAUUGUUCUAAGCCUCUUUUGUGAAAGUAUUGGUGUUGAAUAGCAAUAAACUACAUUCGCAUUGAAAAGUGUUUAA